UUUUUUUGUUGUUGAGGAUGAGGAAAAGUUUGUUCAUUUCUGCUAGCCCGGAUGAACAACUUUUUUAGACAUGUAAGCAAAAAUUUAGUUUAUUUCCAACUGAUCGACAAGUCAACUCUGGUUGACCAUAGGAUGACGUCGUUACCAACUCUCCCAGGCUGUUAGGCUGGUUACCAAUAAAAUGAAGAAAAAAACAAUGAUGUAAGAAAUUUAAGCAUGUUUAUCGCCUCGUUUUAAACAAUAUAAAAAUAAAUUCAUAAAGGGGAAAUUUCGAGCAUAUGUUGACAUACUUAUAUCAAAGUGGUUUCACAUUUGAUAACAGCUGUUUCUUCAUUAUUUUCACAAAAUAUAACAAAAAUCUUUAAAUAAUUUCAUAAAUUGGUGAUUCUUUUUGUUAAAUUGUGGGAAUUCGGCCAUGCAGUGCUGUAACGGAUCGCUUCUGGGACUUACUUGAGGACAUGGCAUUCGACAUUGUUUCGCACCGUUGAAAAACUGGAACAUUAAAGGUUUAAUUCGUUAUCGCUGAUUUUGAAUUCUUCAGGUAUGUCCGUCUGUAAUGUUGUCUCCGGCUUCCGCACUUACAUUUUGUAGUUGUGGUUGUCGAGAACAUACUCAAAAUUGUUUCCGACAUGUAAGUGUCUCACUGUUUUGCACAACUAAAGAAGCAAAUUAAGAGUGCUCGGUUAAUAAUUUGAAAAUAAAAGAUGUUUCAAGCCCAUUUUUCUAUAUUUAAAAUCACCCAGACCACUGUGGAAGACAUUGUGGAAAAUCCAUCGUCUUCAGCAUUUUACUAAUUUUGACCAAGAUGCAACGUUUUUUACAUCGUACACUUUGAUUUACGGGGUGUGCACAAAAGUGAGUCACUUAGAUGUCGGCAGCAAUUUUGAGUUUGUCGCCUACAACUGCGACUUGUUCAGCGUGAAAAGUGCUGAAGCCGGGGACAACGUUGCAGUCAGACGUACCUGAAGAAUUCAAAAUCUGUGAUGACGAAUUACUUCUUUAAAAAGAAAAGCAAUAACUGGAGGGCUUUGGAGAAUAUCGUUAAAAAUAAAAUACUAACCACUUUACGGAAAAAGAAUAAAAUGUUUU